AGUGAACGCUGGCGGCAGGCCUAAUACAUGCAAGUCGAACGGCAGCACAGCAGAGCUUGCUCUGUGGGUGGCGAGUGGCGGACGGGUGAGGAAUACAUGGGAAUCUGCCCAGUCGUGGGGGAUAACGUAUGGAAACGUACGCUAAUACCGCAUGCGCCCUAAGGGGGAAAGCCGGGGACCGCAAGGCCUGGCGCGAUUGGAUGAGCCCAUGUUCGAUUAGCUAGUUGGCGGGGUAAAGGCCCACCAAGGCGACGAUCGAUAGCUGGUCUGAGAGGAUGAUCAGCCACACUGGAACUGAGACACGGUCCAGACUCCUACGGGAGGCAGCAGUAGGGAAUAUUGGACAAUGGGUGCAAGCCUGAUCCAGCCAUGCCGCGUGCAGGAAGAAAGCCUUCUGGGUUGUAAACUGCUUUUGCCAGGGGAUAAAAACACUUUGCGAAGUGGAUUGAAGGUACC
rnacentral:rRNA from 1 species